rnacentral:rRNA from 1 species
CCUACGGGAGACUGCAGUGAGGAAUAUUGGUCAAUGGCCGAGAGGCUGAACCAGCCAAGUCGCGUGAGGGAAGACGGCCCUACGGGUUGUAAACCUCUUUUGUCGGGGAGCAAAGCGAGUCACGUGUGACUCAUUGAGAGUACCCGACGAAAAAGCAUCGGCUAACUCCGUGCCAGCAGCCGCGGUAAUACGGAGGAUGCGAGCGUUAUCCGGAUUUAUUGGGUUUAAAGGGUGCGCAGGCGGAGGUGCAAGUCAGCGGUCAAAUUGCGGGGCUCAACCCCGUACUGCCGUUGAAACUGCAGCCCUUGAGUGCGCGAGAAGUAUGCGGAAUGCGUGGUGUAGCGGUGAAAUGCAUAGAUAUCACGCAGAACUCCGAUUGCGAAGGCAGCAUACCGGCGCGCAACUGACGCUCAUGCACGAAAGCGUGGGUAUCGAACAGGAUUAGAUACCCCUGUAGUC